rnacentral:rRNA from 1 species
UAAUACGAAGGGGGCUAGCGUUGCUCGGAAUCACUGGGCGUAAAGAGCUCGUAGGCGGUUCGGUAAGUCGGGUGUGAAAACUCUGGGCUCAACCCAGAGAGGCCACCCGAUACUGCUGUGACUAGAGUGCGGUAGGGGAGCGGGGAAUUCCUGGUGUAGCGGUGAAAUGCGCAGAUAUCAGGAGGAACACCAGCGGCGAAGGCGCCGCUCUGGGCCGUAACUGACGCUGAGGAGCGAAAGCAUGGGUAGCAAACAGGAUUAGAUACCCUGGUAGUCCAUGCCGUAAACGUUGGGCACUAGGUGUGGGUCUCAACCAACGAGAUCCGCGCCGUCGCUAACGCAUUAAGUGCCCCGCCUGGGGAGUACGGUCGCAAGACUA